AUGCACUACCUGCGUCGCCUCGGGCGCGGGCGAGAUGCAGGGCCGCGGGAGUGGCUUCAGCGCGGGGAGAGGCCGGAUCCUGGCCGGGCUUGGCCGGAUCUAGCUUCUCCGCCCCCGUUGGCCGCCCUCGAUGGGGCUCGGUGGCUUCGUUCCGGCGGCCAGCGAGGGCUGGAUCCCGGGGCGGCGGCCCCGGACGGCGGAGGAUGUGUCGGCGGCUAUGGACUCGUGACAGGCGACGCGGCGGCCGCGGUGGUGGACGAUCCGUGCACAAGACGCUUGAUGGAGGCCAUUGGAACAGAUCUGGGUGAAGACCUGCUCGUGGCUGCUGCCGAGGGCGGCGAUGGCGGCACUAUUCGGUGUCGUUCCCUUAUUGAAGGCAUCGCUGUUGAGAAGUUCCAGGCCACUAUAUGCUACCUUCGGGGGAAACCCUAG
rnacentral:rRNA from 1 species